rnacentral:rRNA from 1 species
UACAGAGGUCUCAAGCGUUGUUCGGAUUCAUUGGGCGUAAAGGGAGCGUAGGUGGGUUGGUAAGUCAGUGGUGAAACCCCCGAGCUUAACUUGGGAACUGCCAUUGAUACUAUCAGUCUUGAAUACUGUGGAGGUUAGCGGAAUAUGUCAUGUAGCGGUGAAAUGCUUAGAUAUGACAUAGAACACCAAUUGCGAAGGCAGCUGGCUACACAAAUAUUGACACUGAGGCUCGAAAGCGUGGGGAUCAAACAGG